AUUGAACGCUGGCGGCAGGCUUAACACAUGCAAGUCGAGCGGUAACAGAGAGAAGCCUGCUUCUCUGCUGACGAGCGGCGGACGGGUGAGUAAUGCCUAGGAAUCUGCCUAGUAGUGGGGGAUAACUGGCCGAAAGGUAAGCUAAUACCGCAUACGUCCUACGGGAGAAAGGAGGGGACCUUCGGGCCUUUCGCUAUUAGAUGAGCCUAGGUCGGAUUAGUUAGUUGGUGAGGUAAUGGCUCACCAAGACCGCGAUCCGUAACUGGUCUGAGAGGAUGAUCAGUCACACUGGAACUGAGACACGGUCCAGACUCCUACGGGAGGCAGCAGUGGGGAAUAUUGGACAAUGGGGGGAACCCUGAUCCAGCCAUGCCGCGUGUGUGAAGAAGGUCUUAGGAUUGUAAAGCACUUUAAGUUGGGAGGAAGAGGAGUUAACUAAUAUUUGACUGUUUUGACGUUACCGACAGAAUAAGCACCGGCUAACUUCGUGCCAGCCGCCGCCGUAA
rnacentral:rRNA from 1 species